rnacentral:tRNA from 1 species
CAUUAAGAAGCUAUGAAUCAGCAUUAGCCUUUUAAGCUAAAGAAAGAGGGAGCUCCCUCCUUAAUGA